UUUACUGGUUUGGUUUUACUUUUGAAAGAGAAAAAUAGCAAGUUUCCAUCUCUCUUUAAUUUUUCUUUUUACGGGUGAGAAUGCUAAAUGACAGCACUGUGGACCAAGUUCAGCUUUUCACAUUGAGAAAACUGACUAAUGGACCAUCUGAUAAAAGUACUGCUACCAUUUGAGCAUUGCAAUACCUUCUGUCUUCCAAAAGACAUCGAAACGACUAUGAAACUUGGAAACCGGGAACUAAAGGAACAUUUGUCAUUUUGUUCAACAGGAAAUUGGGGAUCAUAUAUCUACUUCUCAGGAUUGUUAUCAGAAUGAAAUAAUGUACAUGACAUCCUUUGUUAAAGCACCGUGAACGACAGGAGGACACUGUAUGCAAACGGAUGGAGUGAGAGGAAAGAAGGAGAAUUAAGUCACCUUGUUUCUGGACAAGAAAAGCAACUCCGUGCAUUUCUUCAUCUGUAAGUUUGCUCGCCAUGCAUGCGAACAAUCGCCAAGUGAAGAUCGUUCUGAAGCCAGAGAAUGGUAUUGCAAGGUCGCGCUGAAUCUGGUCCACCCACUGGCAAGGACUGGUCCAAUGAGGACCUGGUCAUGGCAAGAUGAACACUAUGCAGGGACAUUGCUGGCACAGUUCAGACCUGUGACAUGAAUAUGGGCAAACAUCGGCACGUUCACAGCUGCAGGUGCAGACUGCUGAGCUGUAGAAGCUGACCGAAGAAUAAGCAUUGUUCACUCUGACCAGAGAGCCCAAUAGUCACCAAGCACAGUGACCCAAGCUUUCUAGAACUCCUUGCAGUCUGACUGGAGGGCCGGGGUCAUCUUUGCUACACUGUAAAGCACCUACAUGUGCAUUUCCUCAGAUGAAUCCCUCCCUGCAGAGAAUGUGCUCCAGAAUUAACCUGCUUCUUCACCUAGACAGUGACCCAGAGGAGGAGAACUGCCCUUUCAUUGUCACAGGGUGGAAUGUGCACAAGAUAGUCUACCAUUCACAUGGGCUUCUGAGUCCGAAUGUCUUCAGGAAAAGUGGUCCCUGGAUUGGAGUCACAGUUAAAUCUGGGAACUGUCUUAGUGGUCAAUAGAAUACCGGGAUCUAUGCCAAUGUGAUGACCUUUCUUUAUUAUGACCCAAUUUAUCUUUCCAAUUUUAUUUCCUUCUCUUCUCUUUGUGCUCUUGUCUCAGAACUUUUGCACUUGCUGUUCCCUCUACUGGAAUGCUUGUCUUUGUCCUUCUCCUCUGCAAGGUCACUGGUCUCUUCCAGCACAUCUCCUUCUCUGGUUUGACUUUCUUUACUCAUUUACCAUCCUUCGACAUAGUGUGUAUUGUAUUCACUUAUUUAUAAUAUGCUACAGAAACAGGGAUUUUUAAAAAGCUCUUUUGUUCACUGCUAAAUUCCUAGAGUCUGGAAGAGUAUGGGGAACAUAGGAGAUGCUCCCUGACUGUUUCUCUUAAACCACUAAGUAAACAUUCAGACUAAUCACUCAGAACUAUCCACUGCUCCCUCUGCCUAAUCCAUGAUUUCUGGGCAGUUGCUUGAGCCCAUUACCCCAAGUCCAAGCCUGUCCACCCUUCAAGGUCUGCUCAGUGUCAGCUCAUACGUAGACUCUGUUGAUUCUUCCCGUUAUACAUAACGCCGUCUCUCACGCUUCCCUAGACUUUUACAAAUAGCGCUUUCUAGAUGGCAUCUAUGCUUAUUUAUAUAUGCCUUAUCGGUAUUAUUAGAUUGUAAGUGGUUUGAAGGAAGGACAUAUUUCUUAGUAGAAGGUGUGAUCCUAGAAGCUUCACAUACUGUUAGCAUACUGCUUUUUACAGGGUAUGUGUAAAAUACUUAUAUGCUAUAAUCCCAGAGCUUAAAGACGCGGACUCUGCAGUCGGAUAAACCUGGAUCCGCGGAUUGACUGCUCCCCUUCACCUGUGACCGAAGCUUUGCGGUCCCGCACCCGCCGCUCUGUUCUGGGUCCUGCACUCUGAUUUCGAGGUCGCGCUACUUGGUGCCACAGCCUCCUGGCGCUGCACCCGCCGUCUUCUCGCUCUCCCACCACGUCUCUCCUUUUUCUAGGUUGUCGCUCUGGAGGGCAGUCACCGUAACUUUUUCAUCUUAAACCAAGUGAGCGCCUAGGAGGUAGUAGAAAUUCAAGAAAUAUUUGUAAAAGGAAUGAAAUAGUAGUUGUGCAAACUGAACUUUUAACAAACGAGUGUGUUCCUUCUCCAGAUGGUUGCUCGGCGAGCUAAGGUAUAAGGAUGGCGGGAAUUUGAAAAUGGCCUGGGAGCAGCACGUUCUCUGCCCCACCUGCCAGGGGAGAGUGCGGCCGAGUGAUGCUGAGAGAUGCAUCACAAGGAGCUUAGGAAUGGAGUUGUCACUCAGUUACUCACUCAUUAAGUGGCUUAAUAAGUCAUGACAUCUUUCGGGAGAGAGGGGACUCAAUUAAUCAUUGGAACGCACAAGUUUUAGUGUUACUUAAAAUCUGAUCACACAGAGACAGCCACCAUAUUGUCUGAAUGAAAGAAAAGUGAAUAAAUCAUGAUUAGUAGGAACAAGGAUAAUGUUAUUAAUAUAACCACUGAUAUCAAAGAACUAUUUAUUUUCAAUGGACAUGUCUGAGAUUCAGACUCUAGGAAAUUUCAACGGUAUUUUUCAAGGUUGGUUAGUUACCUCUCUUUCUUUGGGGAAUAUAUAUUUUUUACAUCUCUUAAUCAAAGAAAGCUAAGAAUGAAAGGGAGUGAGCUGUACACCGAAAUUGCACAUUUAAAGAUGGGAGAGAUCGAUCCUUUAUUUCCCAUUAUCAGUCUCAGCUGUGAUUAUUAAAUAUUUUCUCUUUGCUUGUUUAUAUUCCCUCAUUUUAUCAUUUUCAAUCUCAUUUUACCUUUUUAUGGUCUUGUUUUUUCUUAGUCUUUUGCUUAUUGUUCAGAAGUUAGUUACAUGUAGCAUCCCAAGUCUGCCAUCUAGUGGAAUAAAGUGGUCAAGACAGCUGUGGAUGGUGAUGGCGAAAGUCUAAAUCAGACACAGCCUUCCUUGGAAUAGAAAUUACUCCUUUCAUCAGAGUUCAAAGCAAUGCCUGGACUCCAAUUUACCAAAUUUGUGUAGUGAAACUGAAAAUUGCAUUUAAUUGUCUAAAAUGGCUGCUGGAUAUAUAACUAUGUUUGCUGUUUUAUUAAAUUUUGCAGAGCUUCUGAAGACUUGAGUAACCAGAGGCAGCUCUGUUAUAUUUGCUGUGAAAAGAGUGAGGGCGAAACUACUGACAGAAGUGAUUUUAGAAGAAAGGCUGAAAUUAAGAGCAGGUGUCUUUCCUGGGGGCCAUCAAAGAUCAUAGCCAUUUUGUCCUAGAAAAAGAAAAUUACAAAACAUGUCAUUAACCUCCUUAUGAACGGUAUGCCAUGGAGUAUGUACAGAUGCUCUUUGAAAGACAAAGCAAACAUGUAGCUGUUCCUAUUGAAUGGUUUUACUUUAUCAUUUACUCAUAUUUUUCUGCAUAGAUGAGUGAAAAAUAUUUAUCGUCAAUCUGUGAUUUUUGAAACAUAUUCUCUGAUUAUAAAAGUAGCACAGUUUCAUUAUAGAAAAUUUGGAAAAUUCACAAAUAUAUAAAGAACAAAAAAGACACCUGUAAUUUUGCUCUCCAAACAUAACCACUUUUUAUUAUUUUGAUAUAUUUCCUUUCAGCCUUAAUCUCUUCACAGAUGUAAUAUAUUUAUAAUUUUUCUUUGACAAAAUUUUAAUCAGUUUGGUUCCACUUUUCUUAAUUAACAAGACAAGAUGACCUUUUCACCCAGGUGAUUUAAGAACACAAUUUUUAAUGACUGUAAAAUAUCUUUUAUAAUUAUGUACAAAAGUUAUUUAAACCAAUCCUAAUUAUUAAAAGUAUUUUAACACUUUCCAGAUGUUUUGCUCUUAGAAACACUGCCACCUUUAACUCCUGACAUUUACAUAUUGGUGAGAAUUUGAUUAUUUCCUAAGUACAAACUCCCUUGAAGUUUAAGGGUUCAAUAAAACAUUUGUAGCCUUUUGAUUUAAAUAGCAAAGUUCCCUUUCAUAAAGUUGUAAUAAUUUUUCUCAGGCUAGCAUUGUAUGAAAGGAUCCCUUUCAUCUUACCCAUGGCAACAUUAUUUUCAUUUGAUUAAAUAAAGGUAAAAAGAAUAUCUCAUUGAA